UCAUGACUGUCGUCACAAGGAAGAUGCUGGGGUCAUUUGCUCAGGUCCUGCUACCACCACAUCACCACCUGACCUUUCAACACCCUCUGCUAAGCUGACUACUCAGGGAAUAAGAGAAAAAUCUCUGAGACUGGUGAAUGGAGAAGAC